ACUCCUACGGGAGGCAGCAGUGGGGAAUAUUGCACAAUGGGCGCAAGCCUGAUGCAGCCAUGCCGCGUGUGUGAAGAAGGCCUUGGGUUGUAAAGCACUUUCAGUCGUGAGGAAGGUGGUAGUGUUAAUAGCACUAUCAUUUGACGUUAGCGACAGAAGAAGCACCGGCUAACUCCGUGCCAGCAGCCGCGGUAAGUACGGAGGGUGCGAGCGUUAAUCGGAAUUACGUGGGCGUAAAGCGCAUGCAGGUGGUUGUUAAGUCAGAUGUGAAAGCCCGGGGCUCAACUCGGAAUAGCAUUUGAAACUGGCAGACUAGAGUACUGGUAGAGGGGGUAGAA
rnacentral:rRNA from 1 species